ensembl:rRNA 5S_rRNA 5S ribosomal RNA
GUCUACGACCAUACCAUCCUGAACACGCCCGAUCUCCUCUGAUCUCGGAAGCUAAGCAGGGUCGGGCCUGGUUAGUACUUGGACAGGAGAGUGGAUAACAGAGCUGGGACUUAGCCC